rnacentral:lncRNA from 1 species
GAUAACCACUCUCUGUCUCACGGGGAACAGAAUGCUGAGGUGGAAACUGAUUGCAGCCUGGGCCCGCCAUUGCCCAUAGCAAACUUCAGAAAUGAAGGGCAUCUCAUUUUGUUUGCUAUUGUUUUAUUUUCAACAAAAAAGGCUCUGUUUCUGGUGAAGUUGGUUUCAAACGACCUUGGAACUCAUUGUCACUCGCUCCUCAGAGCCUGAGGAUUAAGCAGACUGGAAGACUUAGGACUUAGGACGGGGAGAAAUUCGGCCUCCCCUCUUCCUCCAAUACUGCUCGGACUUCCUCAGAUGGAAAGCGGGAAGGGGAGUCUGGGAAAAGUGGUCACCUAAGGCAGUGUGGUUCCAAGCCAAAACAUCUGACAAAAGCCACAUUAAGGAAGGAGGGGUGUACUGAGAGGCUGCAGUCCGUCGUGGCGGGGAAGCUAUGGCAGCAGGAGCAAGAAAAUGGCCCCCAAAACUCACGCAGUAAUAUAUGGAAUGGCUGACUCUAUUUCUAUGAAAUGCCCAUGAUAGACAAAUCCACACAGAGAGAGAAGCCAGGUGGGUGAACCUAGGAAUGGGGGAGCCAGGAGUGGAGUAAACCAGGAUGGGCGAGCCUUUCCUGGUAGCUGAGGAGAGGGUCCUAAAGUUGUCUGUGGUGAUGGCUGCCCCCCUAUGAAUACACCGAGAGCCUCUGAGUUGCAUUCCCUAAGGUAGCUUCCGGGGGUGUGAGCAGCGAUUGAGGUGCAUCCUUAGCUGCCCCAAUGACUUAGCAAUGACUGAUCGAUCAAGGAUUGGAUGGCUUGAGUGUUUGAUUGAUCUUGGCUGGGGGAGUUUGUGUGUCUGAGCACCUGAAGAGAUGGCUCAGAGGCGUGAUAUACAGUGACUACACAUGUAUUAUGAUGACUUGAGGCCCUCUUUGAAAUGCACAGUAAGUAAUUUCUCCAUGCCGUCUUUCAUCGGGCUAGAUGCUGAGGAAUGCCAGUCCUUUCUUUUAGGCAAAAGCAAGUCACCAUCAAAGGUCUGAAUAAAACAGAGUGUGUGACUAUUACUAUUA